CACGGCUCAGUAAAACGUGGACAACCUGCCCUCGGGUGGGGGAUAACCCCGGGAAACUGGGGCUAAUACCCCAUAGGUGAUGGGUGCUGGAAUGCCCCAUCACCCAAAGCUCCGGCGCCCGAGGAUGGGUCUACGGCGGAUUAGGUUGUUGGCGGGGUAACGGCCCGCCAAGCCGAAGAUCCGUACGGGCCAUGAGAGUGGGAGCCCGGAGAUGGACCCUGAGACACGGGUCCAGGCCCUACGGGGCGCAGCAGGCGCGAAACCUUUACAAUGCGGGAAGCCGUGAUAAGGGGACCCCGAGUGCCCCUGCCACGCAGGGGCUGUCCGGGUGUGUAAAAAGCACCCGACAGCAAGGGCUGGGCAAGACCGGUGCCAGCCGCCGCGGUAACACCGGCAGCCCGAGUGGUGGCCACUAUUAUUGGGUCUAAAGCGUCCGUAGCCGGCCUAGUAAGUCUCUCGGGAAAUCCGGCGGCUUAACCGUCGGGCGUCCGAGAGAUACUGCUAGGCUUGGGACCGGGAGAGGCCGAGGGUACUCCCGGGGUAGGGGUGAAAUCCUGUAAUCCCGGGAGGACCACCGGUGGCGAAGGCGCUCGGCUGGAA
rnacentral:rRNA from 1 species